CUUGACUGUAUCCUGGAAUUGGGUUCGGGCUUUUCUUGCGCAGCCUAGGUGGGAGGCUAUGAAGAUUUCCUUCCGGGGAAGUUGGAGCCAUCAGUGAGAGACCACUCUGGAGAGGCUAGAAUCCUAAUGGUGAUCCUUGAAUCAGGACACUUGACAGUUUCAGGUGGCAGUUUUUCUGGGGCGGAAGCCUCAUAAAGGGUAACUGAGGCGCGCAAAGGUCCCCUCAGUCUGGACGGAAAUCAGACAACGAGUGUAAAGGCAAAAGGGGGCUUGACUGCAGGACCUACAAGUCGAGCAGGAGCGAAAGCUGGCCUUAGUGAUCCGACGGUACCGUGUGGAAGGGCCGUCGCUCAACGAAUAAAAGUUG
rnacentral:rRNA from 1 species